GUUACGUUAUAUAAUACAUUGGAAAUCUGAACCAGCCAAGAGUAAACACAAUUCCUAGGAGAGAAACAGAAAAGUGUGAAAAUGGCUGCAAUGACUGAAUUGAAUGCUGACUUUGGCAGGGAAACAGAUAAUGAUGCAGAGGUAGUACUUUCAAAGACUGAUAUGCAGAGGAAAAGAACCCUGAAAGACAUAAAGUUCUCAGAUCACAUGCAGUCUAUGGAAAAGAUACAUUUCGAAA